rnacentral:tRNA from 1 species
GCGGGCGUAGCUCAAUUGGAUAGAGCAUCAGACUUCGGAUCUGAGGGUUAGGGGUUCGAGUCCUCUCGCCCGCGCCA